CCUACGGGAGGCUGCAGUGGGGAAUAUUGGACAAUGGGGGCAACCCUGAUCCAGCCAUGCCGCGUGUGUGAAGAAGGCCCUCGGGUUGUAAAGCACUUUCAGUGAGGAAGAACGCCUGGUGGUUAAUACCCAUCAGGAAAGACAUCACUCACAGAAGAAGCACCGGCUAACUCCGUGCCAGCAGCCGCGGUAAUACGGAGGGUGCGAGCGUUAAUCGGAAUUACUGGGCGUAAAGCGCGCGUAGGUGGCUUGAUAAGCCGGUUGUGAAAGCCCCGGGCUCAACCUGGGAACGGCAUCCGGAACUGUCAAGCUAGAGUGCAGGAGAGGAAGGUAGAAUUCCCGGUGUAGAGGUGAAAUGCGUAGAGAUCGGGAGGAAUACCAGUGGCGAAGGCGGCCUUCUGGACUGACACUGACACUGAGGUGCGAAAGCGUGGGUAGCAAACGGGAUUAGAUACCCUUGUAGUC
rnacentral:rRNA from 1 species